AACAGAAUUUCAGCUUAUCAGUGUAUGAUAACAGAAAGGCAAGAGAUUUCAUAAUCAUGAGGUUUCCCAAGAAGACUGCAUAAAACCCUGGGAGGUGACGAUAUGAUGUAACGUGAACAUCAUUCUACUGAAGAAACUAAGCAACUUUUGUAUUUGUAUAUCCUUAUCAACGGUCCAUAACAUUUCACUUUCCUUAAUAUACAUUAAUGAUUUCCCAACUUGCUUCCAUGAAAACUGCAAAAGGUUUGCCUCUUUGAUUAUUUGUUAUUACUAGGGAAUAUGUUAUAUUUGUAGUCAGCUUUUUUUUUGCAUACAUGUUUCUAAGUUUCUUCAUAAAAUGGUCAGUCAGGUUUCAGAGA